rnacentral:misc_RNA from 1 species
UUUAAAAUCGGGAGUGAAAUUUGUUACCGGUCCGGUCAUGUCCGGACGAGUGAACCAAGCAUCGGGGAUCUUAUGCUUGACCACAUUUGCCUCCCGGCUGUGGCGGGCAGAUCUUUCAGGCUAGGCCGAUUUUGGUCCGAUCCGGAAUCAGGAGGAGGAAACAAGGGACGGUUGCAGUUGAGUGCACAGCGUAGAAAAACUUCGUUAAGAGAGAAAACUAAGCAGGCACGACAACACGACAGCCAGCACCGGGCUGACGAAUAGUCAGUACGCGGGGACAGGAAGAACGAACGGACUGGCCACAGCUCCAACAUCGCCUGCGAACAGUUGUAGUGCGUCCUGCCUGACCAUCAACUGCACUCGCGAAGAUACCGGCAAGAUCGUGUCCCCGUUCCUGUGCUCACCGGACACGAAACCUGAGGCGCGGAUACGAAACUGUAACGACAUUCCGUGUCCACCGCGGUGGAACUACUCGAAGUUUACGCGGUGCUCCAAGUUCCUGUGCAUCUACGAGGUAACCCGCGACGGUGAGAACACCAUGAUCGUACCGAACAGCAUGUGUACCACGAAGCCCUACCCGGAACCGCAGUUCUGCAACAUCAACGACUGUCCUCUGCGUGGGAGGUUUCCGAGUGGAGCAAGUGCUCGGAACCUUGUGGAGACGGCCUCAAGGAGCGUUGCGUCGAGUGCAAGCAGAUUAUGACCCAGGAACACAAGGUCGAACGGCCGGCGUCAAUGUACCCGAGCAGCAAACCUCCGGACAAGAAGCCCUGCAACGGCAAGGCGUGCAUCCUGGAAUACCAGAACCCCCCGAUCGCCGGAACCAACUCGACCUUCAUCCAGUAUGACCCCGAGAAGAACAAAAUCACGCUCAAAUUCGGCGGUGCAGCGACCGUGUUCUUUGGGAAGCAAAUCAAAAUCAAGUGCCCAUUCAAGCGAUUCAACCGAAUCAAAAUUCAGUGGGCCAAGGUGGCCGACGCGCGUUCUGGGAUCACCCGUACGUGGCGAACCAAAUGGAGGAUAUAAAAAGGGUCUUCGGCACGUAGUUGCACGGGAGUUCGGCAAACACCUUCACAGAUCCGACUGCUGGCGGAGAUUCUGGGGACUUGUUCCAGGCGGACGGUCUUCUAGUGGAGGCCACUCCGCUCAAGUCGAUUCUCGAGGUAAAGGUCGGCGGUCAACCUCCAGGACCUCUGGCGGUACGCGAAUCCGCUCAAGGGACGUGCCAGCUCGUUGCGCGAUGCUGGAAAUCAGCCAGAUCGACGACCCGAGCACGCUGCACCGGUCUCAGCACCUCUAUCCGGGUGGCCCCGCCGCCGACGUCACCGAACACGAGAAGGACCUGUACAAUCAUUACCAAAAACAUAGUUUCCGCGGUGCCGGCCACAAAUACUUUGGCAAGUAGAGCAGCAACGAGUGCAUUUCGGCCACGCCACCUUCUCCUACUGCUAGCACCGGGACUCACGUCACGUGGAGUAACAUGCCAACGGCGGCAGCGACACGCAGCAGUAACCUGCUGCCCCGCAGACAUUCAGGACGACAAGAUCAGAAAAAUCGACUACUUAUAGAAUCAAAAUUCCGUAG